GACGAACGCUGGCGGCGUGCUUAACACAUGCAAGUCGAACGGAAAGGCCCUGCUUUUGUGGGGUGCUCGAGUGGCGAACGGGUGAGUAACACGUGAGUAACCUGCCCUUGACUUUGGGAUAACUUCAGGAAACUGGGGCUAAUACCGGAUAGGAGCUCCUGCUGCAUGGUGGGGGUUGGAAAGUUUCGGCGGUUGGGGAUGGACUCGCGGCUUAUCAGCUUGUUGGUGGGGUAGUGCUUACCAAGGCUUUGACGGGUAGCCGGCCUGAGAGGGUGACCGGCCACAUUGGGACUGAGAUACGGCCCAGACUCCUACGGGAGGCAGCAGUGGGGAAUAUUGCACAAUGGGCGGAAGCCUGAUGCAGCAACGCCGCGUGCGGGAUGACGGCCUUCGGGUUGUAAACCGCUUUCGCCUGUGACGAAGCGUGAGUGACGGUAUGGGUAAAGAAGCACCGGCUAACUACGUG
rnacentral:rRNA from 1 species